rnacentral:lncRNA from 1 species
AGUAUGGAGCAGAGACUGAAGGAAAGGCCAUCCAGAGACUGCCCCACCUGGGGAUCCAUCCCAUAUACAGUUACCAAACCCAGACACUAUUGUAGAUGCCAACAAGUGCUUGUUGACAGGAGCCUGAUAUAGCUGUCUCCUGAGAGGCCCUACCAGUGCCUGACAAAUACAGAGGUGAAUGCCCUAAGGGCUCUCAAUGGAGGAGAUAGAGAAUGAACCCAAGGAGCUGAAGGGAUUUGCAGCCCCAUAGGAGGACCAACAGCAUGAACCAACUAGUACCCCCAGAGCUCCCAGGGACUAAACCACCAACCAAAGAGUACACAUGGCUCUUGCUGCAUAUGUAGCAGAGCAUGGCCUUGUUAGAUAUCCGUGGGAGGAGAGGCUCUUGGUCCUGUGAAGGCUCUAUGCCCCAGAGUAGGGGAACCCCAGGACAGGGAAGUGGGAGUGGUGGGUCGGUGAGCAGGGGGAGGGGGAUAGGAUAGGGGGUUUUUGGAGGGGAAACCAGGAAAGGGGAUAACAUUUAAAAUAGAGUAUCUAAUAAAAAAAGAUUCUGCCUCAGUAAACACAAAGCCAGAGCCAAUCUGAAAACCAGGAGCUGGGGAGAUGGCUCAGGAUUUGACAUACAAGAAUGAGGACCUAGGUUUGGAUCUCCAGAGCCUAUGCAAAAAGCAAGGCCCUUCAGAAGUCACAUCUAUAGCCAAGUGCUGGAGAGGGGAGUGGUGAGAUAGUUGAGAUUGAGGAGUGGAUCCCUAAUGGUAACUGGCCAGCCAGCCCAAUAGGCUCCGGGGUUAGUGAGAGACUCUCAACAAUAGCAACAACAAUCAAGCUAACAGGUGGGAAUGGCUGCAGGGGACACUGGGCAUGGAACUCUGAUUUUUACAUGAAUGUAAAUACUUCAAAACAUACAUCUGCAGGCACACACCUGUAGUGACUUUCCCUCUCCUCUCCUCCCCCAGAAUAAAAUCAAGCAAAACCACAAAACAAAAUCAAAGGCAACAAUAAAUCUUUCUUUCUUUGAUCUUGAUUAUCUCGGAUGAUUUGUCCCAAAAGUACAAAGCUCACUGAUUCAAGUGCAUGCCCAUUGCUCCUGUCUGUGAGCCUAUUGGGGAACUGGGGUCUCUUUCUCAUGUCUCAGAUUUCAGGGUGGGUUCCAUGUGUGAGUCUUGGUGUGUAAGACCUCACAGAGACUAGAACUCACUUUUCCAGAGAGCAGGCCCCUUCUUGUUGAGGUAGAGAAUGACAAGCAGUAAAAUUGAUGCUAGAAAAGGCUCAUGACAUAGAUCCAUGAUGUCUUCUACAAACUCCUGAGGGCUAGAGUUGUUUGAGAAUUGGAAUUAAUUUGUAGAUUCUAAAAUAUAAUAAAGUAUGUAAUUGAUAUAUGACC